rnacentral:rRNA from 1 species
GACGAACGCUGGCGGCGUGCUUAACACAUGCAAGUCGAACGGAAAGGCCCUGCUUUUGUGGGGUGCUCGAGUGGCGAACGGGUGAGUAACACGUGAGUAACCUGCCCUUGACUUUGGGAUAACUUCAGGAAACUGGGGCUAAUACCGGAUAGGAGCUCCUGCUGCAUGGUGGGGGUUGGAAAGUUUCGGCGGUUGGGGCUGGACUGGCGGCUUAUCAGCUUGUUGGUGGGGUAGUGGCUUACCAAGGCUUUGACGGGUAGCCGGCCUGGGAGGGUGGCCGGCGACCGUGGGCCUGCGGGACGGCGCAGACUCCUACGGGAGGCAGCGGUGGGGAAUAUUGCGGAAUGGGCGGAAGCCUGAUGCAGCGACGCCGCGUGCGGGAUGACGGCCUUCGGGUUGUAAACCGCUGUCGCCUGUGACGAAGCGUGAGUGACGGUAAUGGGUAAAGAAGCACCGGCUAACUACGUG